rnacentral:lncRNA from 1 species
CAGCUAGAUGAGUGCUGGAGUGGCUAUUUAGAUCAGUUCUGCUCUAGAUAACGGGGUGGUGAGAUAUGAAAAGAAAUGAAAAGGAUUUCAGUUAUUUAGCCUGGCAUUGCCCAGUAGAGGAAUCACCUGGGGUUUUAGGCUGAGGAUGGCACUAGUAAUAAAAAGGAGAUGCUCUUUUCUCUAGAGCAUCCUUCAUAUAGGCAUGCGUUCCUGAGAGACUAGAGUCUCUGUCAAGGUAAAUAUCUCAUCAAGACCUAAAUCUCUACCUAUCAUUUCUCAGAAGACCUAUAUUACACUUAGCUCAAAUAGCUUAAGUUUUAAAAGGGGAAAUAAGAUGUGCACUCCCAUAAUGACUGAUCGUGCUAAUUAUACCUAAUUGGAAUCUUAGUAAAUAUUACCUUACAUUUGUUUCCUUUACCAGUUUGAAAUAUUAAGAUCAGGAACUAUUAUUUCUUCAUUUUUCUAUUCCCAGUACAGAGUAUCAUAGGUGCCCUGUUGCUUAAAAUUUUUUUUGAAUGAAUUAAAAAAAUAAUUGGUAGGUAUUUGUGUGUUGAAUGUUUAUGUCCCCCCCCCACUAUAUGUUGAAGCCCUAAACUCCAAUGUGGCUGUAUUUGUAGAUAAGGCCCUGAAAUAGUAAUUAAGGAUAAAUGAGAUCAUAAGGGUGGGGCCCUGAUCUGAUAGGAUUUGUGCUUUAGAAGAAAAGACACUAGAGAGCUUGCUGUCUCUUGCACACACUCACAAAAGGAAAGUGACUUGUGGGGACACAGUGAGAAGACCACUGUCUGUAAACCAGGAAGAGCACUCUCAAAGAAAUGGAAUCAGCUAGAACAUUGAUCUUUGACUUCUAAUCCGUGAGAAAAACAUUCUGUCGUUUAUGUAUCCAGUCUAUAUUGCAUUUUGUUACAGCAGCCUGAGAUGACUAAUAAAGUAGUCUUACCAAAGUGCAGAAAAUUCUACAACAUUUAAAAGGAUAAAGACAUCCAUUUUGGCUGAGGGAAGGUGGAUCAUGUCACUGAGGACGUGGCAUCAGAGAACCUUGUAACAUAACAGAUACUUUUUCCCGUAAGUGGGAGCAUGAUGAACAAAGCAGAUAGAGGUGAAAGGACAGGCCAUCAGAGGACAACAAGGAGAUGCCUUGUCUGAAAAAUAGGGUUUGAGGAAUACUAGAGGAUAAUUUUACAUCCAGUUAGGGCCUUUGCAUUUAUUUUAUACACGGCAUAGAAUGAUCAAAAUUUGAACAGAGCUACUAGCAUGGCCAGAGAAAUGCUUUGAGAGGGACUGUUUUCACGUUCAGGUUUCCUGUCUGAUAGUAGGCAUGACUUCACCAUUGAUGCUCCUAAAGGGUAAUCCUAUCUUGUACGUAGUACAUCAGCCCCUGAGGUCAUAUGUGAUGAUCACUUAGCUGCAGGGGAGACAUUACUUACAUUACCCCUAAUAUGAAGGUUAGUUUGAGCAACUUAUCUGCCCAGGGUCACAAGGAAUCCACUGCAGGAUAAAACAGUAGCUCAGCAACCUCCUUAAAUUUACUGCAGGAUUUAUUUCCAAUUCCUUUGUAAUCUCUUCCUUAAAGCAGUAAAUUCUGAGCUCACAGGGCUUUGCAUUUAAUUCCAGUAUUUGGAUCGUGAGAGCUUUUAAUACCUGUGGACUUGGCAGUUGCAGAGAGUCAAAUGCAUCCCCAUUAAUCAGAACUGGACUUAGUCAUGUUACACAAACCAUAGAUCUCUACAAGAAAAUUAAAAGGCAAUAUCAUUUCACUUCUGCUAAAUGUUUUCUUAUGAUUCAGAGGAAGAAAUGGGACACUCUAUAUUGUGUCCAGUGACGCUGCCAAAAAUAUAUCACCAAGAGACACGACAAAUGAAUGUAUAAAUAGGAAUUGCUCAGAAGGGGUUAGUCAUAAAUCACUAAAUGAGCCAGAACCCAUGCUUCUUUUUUUGUGUUGCUUAAAACGUGAAACAUUGCUGGUGACUUCUAGAAAAACAAUUUGAUUUUUGUACAGUAUUAGAAGGGGGUGGGAAAUAGGGAAGUACAAUUUCCCUAGGUGAAGUCAAAGGCAAAAUACAACAUUCUUCUGGUGACUCUAGGAGCUCAUAAGCUAUUUUGAAAAAUGGAAUGGAGUUUGUUAAAUCACAGCAAUAGUGUGGUUUCUACAAUCAUGAGUUUUCAUCUUGAACAUUUAGAAAUCUGGGAUACGGUGAUGGGCUGGAUUUGGGUCAAAAAUGCACUAUAAAAAUUGGAUUGAGGCAGCAGCAACAAUUAUGGGACUUAUCUGCUGGGGUCUUGUAACUCCUUCUUAAUACUUACUCCUAGAAAACGUUUCUUCAUAUUUUAAAAGAAACUGCUUUCUGAUGUCCUGAGUUACAGUCCAAACAGUGUUUUUUUUCUUAGGGGGGAAAAAGAAACCACGUUUCUGUUUGUUCUAAAGAUAUUAAAGUAGAAACAAGGAAGCUAUCGCUAAAAACAGUAAGACCUUCACAGAAAUGCUAAGCAUUUUCAUAAAAAUGCAGAAGUUAAUGCUAAAUGGAUGUUAAAAUUUUUCUUACAUAUACAAUUCCUAUGACAUCAGUUAUCUUUUUGGUUAAAGGUAGUACUCAUCUUUUUGCUUGGGAGCACAGUGGUUGAGACUGCUACUUUUGUUCUCACAAAUCCUCUAAAGAGGCUCAGAGGGUCCUUAAUUUGUUCAAGCAUCAAGCCCAAUACAAAAUCCUUUAGAAGACAGAAGGUAGUGGAGAUGUUGAAGGCAUUGAUAUGAUUCCCAAAGUGAUAUAACUUCUCAAUGGCCUGAUUUUGAGUUAACAUUUUUCCUGUAUAAAAGCUAUUCUGAAACUUGGUGGCGUAAAACACUUAUCAUUCACUAACUCAUGAUUCUGUGAGGUUGGCAUUUGGUCUGAGCUCAGUGGGGUGGUUCUUUUGUGGGUCCCAUCUAGACUCACGUAUGUGGCUGUGGUCAGCUGGAGGGCUGGUUAUAGUUAGCUUGCUGGUCCCACAUAUCUGGAGUUUGGCUGGCGUAAUAGAGGCAACUGGACCACAUGUUUCUAACAUCUUGUAAGCUAGCUCUGGCUUCUUCCUAUGGUGGCUGGGUUCCAAAAACACCAAUGAGGUAAAUUUCAGUGUGCGAUCACCUUCAAAGCUUCUCUUUCAUCAUGUUUGCCAAGAUCCCAUUGGUCAAAGCAGAUUCAAAGGAUAGAAAAGUGGCCUCCAACCCCAGUAUUAUUUGGCUUUUCCUCUUUAUAGGUUUGCUGAAAAUAAUAUUAGAAAUCUUACCUCCUGAGCUCUUGAAGAAAGAAGCUGCAGCAUAUUAUGGCUGUGUGUGUGUGUGUUGGUCAAUCUAUCUUAUCCAACCUUUUCUCUUAUGAUAUAAUCCCAGUGGUAGAUAGGUAUCCUAGCUCUACUACUUGCUGUAUGAUUUUGGGAAAUGUUCUUACCCUCUUCACUCCCCAGUUUGCUCAUUGACUCAAGGGACUAAGAAUAGUAUGUAUCUCAUAGGUAUAUUUUAAGAAUUGAAUGAGUUAACAAUUGUAAAGCUUGGAAAAAUGCCUGGAACACAGUGUACACUCAGUAAAUAUUAGCUGUUACCUGUUUUGGUCCUAUACCUCUGUACCUCUGUAUUAGUCUUUUUUUUUUUUAAUUGCUGAUGUAACAAAUUGACUCUGUGGCUUAAAACAGCUCCUUUAUUAUGUUACAGUUCUUGAGGUUACCAGGUAAUCUCUGGGUUUCACUGGGCUAAAAUCAACAUGUCAGCAGGACUCUGUUAACAUGUUUGCUUGUCUUUUUUAGCUUCUAGAGAUUGCAUCCAUUCUUUGGCUCAUUAGGCCUUCUUUCAAUGCCUUUAUUGGUUGGUUAUGUUUUUCUCAAAUAACAUCACUCUGACUUCUGCUUCUGUUAUCAAAUAUUUUCUGACUUUACUCUCCUCUGCCCUCUUUCUCUUAUAAGGACCCUUACCUGGGGCUCAAGCAGGAUAAUCUCCCCAUCUCAACAUCCUUAAUUUAAUAACAUCUUCAAAGUCCCCUUUUCCAUGUAAGGUAACAUAGGCACAGGCUCUGUGGGAAUCUUUGGUGGACCUUUAUUCUGUCUGUCCCAGUAUUCCCCCUUCUGGACUUGGAUCAUUCAUCCAUGAAGAAAAAGAUGCUGGGAAGGCUUUGCUCAGUCAUAGCUGUUUAGGAAAUUUUUCUGGUAUGAAUGAAGAAAUUCUUUGAGAACUGAGAUUAUCUUUGAGAUUGAGAGUACUUUUUUCCAUCCUAAACUACCAAGAGGGAGAAUGGAUAUUUUGAGUUAUGAGAGAAAAAUGGCUACCAUACCACCUAUCACUUAGAGGUGUGUGAUGGAGAAAUUGCCAUAUAUUCACAAAACUUAUUUAUUUCCUCUUUGGCAUUUAGCUUUAAUAUCCCUGUUGCCUCCAUGUGUGAUCAUGAGACAAAUUCUCAUGAAUGAAAUGAAAAUGGCAGUGAUCAUUGUCACAUCUGAGGUGAGGCAGUUAAGAAAAACUGUGCCUUCUCAUGGUAGCUUCUUUGUUGGGUGCCUACACAUAGUAGGUUCAUUAGAGGGCUCUGAGGCUCUCAUGGUCAGGAUACAAAAUAAAAGGAUCCUGGGUGACUGUGCGGCCCAAAGCCCCAUCUUCCUGUUGUUAAGGCACAAGGGUUGCUUCCUUUUGGCUCCCAUGACUAGUACGAGUAGUUACCCAGACACUGGUCUGCAGAAAGACUCUCCAUUCUCAUACCUGAAGCCUCAGUGGGCAGGGACAUAUUUUGUGCUUUAUAUUGACCUUAUUCAUUUCCUUCUCACUCCUGGACUACAAGCAGAAACUUUAGAUACAUCAUUAAACUAUAAUAUAAUUUGAAUUAGGAAAUACUAAAAAAGGGGGUAGUAUUCAUCUUAUCAUGUUUCUGGCCAGCCUGAUCUUCACUAUAUUUAAAGAGCCAGAAAAUCUGUUAAUAACCUUCUCAUCUUGUCUCCUUACUGAACAUAUGAGGAAAUUUAGGCCCAUAAAGUUUCAGUGAUUUCUAAAUUUCAUAUUGAAACUCAGCAGAAGACCUGGGGCCUGAAUCAAAUAGAGCACUGAGCUCAGCACUCAGCAUAGUGCCUGGUGUGCCAGGAGAUUUGUGAGCUGUUGUCAAAUAAAUGAAUGGAUGAAUGAUGCACUCAUUCUUCAAUGUCCAACGCAAUGCCACCUUCUCCAUGGGACCUUUCUUAAAAGCUACCAUUCGAAAUUGACUUCCUCGGUUCUCUCUUCCUGAGAGAUGAUAUCGAUCCCCUGUAUAACAUUUAACAAAGCGUGCCUGAAAUAUUAAUUUGCAUGCAUCUCUCCAACUGUAGGUGACAAAUAGAUUUUAUUUAUGUGCCAGAUUGGAUUGAUUGGUGGUAAUACUGGAUCACAAUAUUGAAAUGGAGAGCAAGAAUGUCCAGCUCUGUACCAUAAAUGAUUAGUAAUGUCUGCCAUGGGAAAAGGAUUAGAAAAUAAUGAAAUAAGUGCCAUGUGUUUAUCAAUCUACAGUUUGUUAGACUAAAAACUUCUUUAGGACAGAAGUACAUGGCUUUUUCCCCAUUUGUAUCCUACAUGGUGCUGAGAAGAGUGUUUUGUAUCUAAGAUGCAGAUGUCUAAUGUUUGUUGAAUUAAACUUACGUAAUACUGAAUCUAUAGUUGUUGGUUAUCGUAAACCUUGUAUCUGUCCCUCCCUUACUUAUUUUUUUCUUCCUACAUAUUCUAAGAUUUUUUUGAGGAGUUCGCUGAGUACAUGGUUAAUUUCUACUUAUAAUGAACCUCUUGGAAAUGUUUACUUGAAAAUAUUUACAAACUUUUCUUUUCUAGUCUUUAUAUCACAUAAGGAUAUUCAAACUAGUAUAUCUUUCUACAAAAAUAUAAUAGAGUUAGUAACCCAGAGGAGUAUCCUGUUUUACCAACUAGGUUUGGCCAGUCAAACCUACUUAUUUAAAGAUGUAUCUUCC